AUGCACUUGUCACAUACAAGUAUUUCACUGCAAAGAGAUUCUCUGCUCUCCUGAGAACACAAAGACAAGAAAAUUUCUUUCCUUCCUUUUCGUGUAUUAUUCUAAUUGAAGCAGAUGUAAUGACCUCAGCACAAAUCAGGACAUAACACAUCAUUGGUCAGCUCUUAGCAAGAUAAGAAAAAGAGUCAUUUACUUGAUGUGACCAACUGAAUUUUUCUCUCUUAAAAGCUAUUGUUUGCAAUAUUGCUGGAGUAUGGGCCUGGUAAAACCAAAGCAUGAGUACUAAAACAUUAUGUUUGACUUUUGAAUGGUAUAUCCUUUUUUCUAAGAUUCAUGAAAAUUGUAGAAUUUAUAUCAAAGCAAUAAGAUUUCAAACCAAGGAAAUUGUUUUUUCCAGCAAUUACAUUUCUCCUAGUUUAGAAAGUAUGUAAACACUAUUAGUUUCCUAUUUACAACACACGAUUCUUUACUCUUUUGCUUAUCCUCUUUUAAACAUGUAAUUAUUGUAUAUUGUAACUGCACAUUAAUAUCAUCUAUUGUACAUAGUUUUAUUUUAACAAAAUAAAUGUAUUACUAAGUAUUUUGACAACAUCA